rnacentral:lncRNA from 1 species
GGGCGGCUGGGCGCGGUGUGUGUCAGGCGGUUCCACCAUGUCGAAGGUGUCCUUUAAAAUCACGUUGACGUCGGACCCGCGGCUGCCGUACAAAGUUCUCAGUGUUCCUGAAAGUACGCCGUUCACAGCAGUGCUAAAGUUUGCAGCAGAAGAAUUUAAAGUUCCUGCAGCUACAAGUGCGAUUAUUACUAAUGAUGGAAUAGGAAUAAAUCCUGCACAGACUGCUGGAAUGUUUUCCUGAAGCACGGCUCAGAACUGAGAAUCAUUCCUAGAGACCGAGUUGGAAGCUGCUAAUAUAUGCUUGUUGGAACACACAGCCUUUCAGAAUAAAUACUGGUAUUUGUUGUUGCUGUACAAUUG